AAGUCGACGGUGAAGCAGGAGCUUGCUCUUGUGGAUCAGUGGCGAACGGGUGAGUAACACGUGAGCAACCUGCCCCGGACUCUGGGAUAAGCGCUGGAAACGGCGUCUAAUACUGGAUAUGAGACGUGACCGCAUGGUCGACGUUUGGAAAGAUUUUUCGGUCUGGGAUGGGCUCGCGGCCUAUCAGCUUGUUGGUGAGGUAAUGGCUCACCAAGGCGUCGACGGGUAGCCGGCCUGAGAGGGUGACCGGCCACACUGGGACUGAGACACGGCCCAGACUCCUACGGGAGGCAGCAGUGGGGAAUAUUGCACAAUGGGCGAAAGCCUGAUGCAGCAACGCCGCGUGAGGGAUGACGGCCUUCGGGUUGUAAACCUCUUUUAGCAGGGAAGAAGCGAAAGUGACGGUACCUGCAGAAAAAGCGCCGGCUAACUACGUGCCAGCARCCGCGGUWAUACGUAGGGCGCMAGCGUUAUUCGGAAUUWUUGGGCGGAWAGAGCUC
rnacentral:rRNA from 1 species